ACUAUUUUGGCAGAUUAAUUGCAUUAAUUUUAGAAAUUAAUUUAUAUAUAAUUUUUUAUAUAAAUAGUA
rnacentral:tRNA from 1 species